rnacentral:lncRNA from 1 species
AAGUGGCUUCACUUGUAGGACCAAGUAUGAGCCCAGCCCAGCCCACAGCUGCCGCGCAGCCCUGCGACCCAUUGGGUUAUAAGGUGGAGGUCUCGGAGCUUCUGCUAGGAGCCCCCACCAGCCUCUGAGUCAACCAGAGGCCCCGGCGGCUGACCCCCUACAGCCCCCGGGGCCACAGCCCGAAGUGUGGGUUGAAGGGCUCCUGGCAGAAGCCUGGCCUGCAAGCACCGGCAUCCAAGCUUCCACAGCAAAGUGAUCCCAUGCCAGGAGCAGACGUGACGGCUCCCUCAAACCAGGAAAACCUGUUUAAAAUUCCACAUGUCACCGUGGGCCUUCCUUUUCCACCCUCCAUCGUCCAGCAGGUGUCGGGCCCCAGGCUGGAGGCCACGUGCCAGGCUGGCAGGAUUUGUCCACUGUGAAGCUCGACGCCCCCGCAGGCCCUGUGCUGCCCGCCCGGAUCCCCCUGCCUCAGGAUGCCCUCCACACCCUCCGAAUUCCCAGCCGCUGCUCUGGGGCCUGCACAGAGGGCUUGGGCCCAGCACCUGGAAACUCCAAAGAGGCAAACGGGUUCAUGUCCAGGUUUUGUCAGAUCGCUUCCGAGGCUGCCCUCUUCGCCGUGGCUGCUGAGUGCAGAGCUGGGCAUCUGAGUGGACAGAGUGGUGCUCCGCUUCCUUGCAUCUCCUGGGCCAUGCGUGGUGACCUGUGCCCACUGCAUCGCUCCUGUGUGCCCUGUGCAUGUGACCGUGUCUUUCCCGUGUAUUCAGUGCUGCUUCAUGUCUUCCAGUUCCGCUUUGUGGUUUGUGAGUGACCAGUGCAUCCCGUUCCUGCUGCAGCAGCUGCAAUGUGCACUGUCCUGCAGGAAGCCCUCGGGGUAGGGCCUGGGGGCUGUGGGAAGCUCAGCAACAAGAUUCCCAACACCAGAGCUUCUAAGAGACCUGGAACCUCUUGAGUGAUGAGCGUGUCUUUUGUGUGCUGACGAGAGGACAGAGCUGGUGACCCUUGGGCAGCUUCAGGAAGGGACUGCUCCCCAGAAAGACCAAGGCAGGACUUAUAGGUGAGGACUUUCAGAUCCACCCCAACCUCCAGGAAGCGGGAGGGGAGAGAGGACAGGAGCUGAAGAUGGAACUGAUUACCGAUGGCCAAGAAUUUAAUCCAUUAUUCUGUUAAUGAAAAACCAAACUCUGUAAAACAUUUUAAAGAGGUUUAUUGGGACCCCUAAUACGGUGACCACAGCUUGGAGAAAAAACAAACCCAAGAAGCCUAGAGUGAGUGUUCCUGAGGUGCCUGGAUUACAGUCUGGCUUCAUGCACUUUAGGGGACAGGCGUUACAGGUGGACGAGAUAUAUAUUGGCUCAGCUCGAACACGCGGGAUAUCUGGAAGCAAGCCUUAUCGGUUAUAGGUGGAUUCAGAGAGUCUUCAGUUUGCGGCUGGUUAAAGGAGCAAAGCUUUAUCUAAAACCUAGAGUCAGCGAUGAGGACAUCUGCACCCGAAACAUGGGGCAGGGGUGACUAACAGGGUGCAUGACUUGACUUAACCCUCGUCUGACAUGGUCUUGGGUCCUGUUUGUAACUGGGGCUCUUAUUGCCACGGUCAGUUCUGUCAGCCUUCUGAUCUCUGUUUUGACAUUAAUGCCUAAAUUCCAAAGGGAGUGGGAACAGCCAGGCGUCCAAUCUCCCUUCCUGUUGCGGCCGGGAACUGUUUUCCAGGUUUCUCUGGGGUCCCCUUGGCCAAGAGCGGGUCCAUGUAGUCACUGGGGGCCUUAGGACGUUAUUUUUGGUGCCUGUGUUGGGGCUUAGAAGAUCAUACUCCAAAAUGAGGGCCCCAGCAGCAGCCUCUGAAGCAAGUUUCUGUCUGAGCUUCUCCCAUCCUCUGUGUCUCAGUACCACUCUCACUCAAGGUGCCAUAGAAAUGGGAAUCCUUCUUCCCCACAGUGGGUCCUAGAAACCAGAACCCCUUUCCCCAAAGCCAGCCAUACAACCAAAAACUAGGGCUCUAAUUUUCCCUGUGCCUCUGUGUGUACAAACUGGCCAUAAAGAAAUGGUCUGACCUACCUGGCUUGGCUGUAGCUCCUAAGACCCCCAUUCCAGAGAGGGUCCCACCCACACCCAGAAGGAGAGGGCGCUGCUCAGAGAGGCCAAGGAGAAUCCAGACACACAGACCAGGCUGGCUUUCCCCACUCAGUCCAUUAGCAUCAGAUCCAGCUAAGCCUCCAAUCCUAUUUCUACAUGGCUGCCCAUACUUCAUUGAACCUAAGCAUAAAAAUGAGCUGUUUAUCUGAAGGGUCCCUUGUAUACACAUUAAUUUGUGUGCCUUUUCUCCAGUUAAUCUGCUUUUUGUGAGUUGACUUUUCAGAGAACCCUUGUAAGGCUGAGGGAAAAGCUCUCCCUUGGCCCCACACCUACAUAAUGGAACCUCCAUGAGGUACACAUAAUUUAGGAUGUCUAUCCUAAAUGAUGGGGUUCCAAAAACUCCCAGGGUGGUGAAUUCAUCCAGAUGCCGGGAGGGAGGACGGUGCACUGCAACCCAGGUUGUUAGUCUCAGAAUUGAAUGGAAUUCCAGGACAUCCAGUUGGCAUCCAAGGAGCUGGAAAACUGGGUGGUGUGGGAAAUAAAAACCUGAUAGGUUUGGGAUCAUGAGAGAAAGAGAUACCCUUUAGCCACCUUCUCUGUUUCCUCAUGAGAAAAGAAAGUCAUGUUUAUCUGAGGACUGUGAGUCCUUUUAAAUUAUCAGGCCCAAGGUGUUAAGAUGAGGCAGCCGUCAUGUCCUACUCCCCCCUGCCUACUCAAGCUGUGUAUUCAUCUCUGGAAACUGCUUGCUGUUGCCACAAGAGGCUAUAAAUUAAUCGAACAAUGCUACACUGGACACUGUAACCACACCCUAUAGCUUAACAAUAUAUAGCCCAUCAAUAGCUUAUUUUUUUUUGAGACGGAGUCUUGCUCUGUCACCCAGGCUGCAGUGCAGUGGUGUGGUCUCAGCUUACUGCAACCUCUGCCUCCUGGAUUCAAGCGAGUCUCAUGCCUCAGCCUCCAGCGUAGCUGGGAUUACAGGCACACGCCACCACACCAGGAUAAUUUUUUGUAUUUUUAGUAGAGACGGGGUUUCACCAUGUUGGCCAGGCUGGUCUCAAACUCCUCACCUCAAAUGAUCCGCCUGCCUUGGCCUCCCAAAGUGCUGGGAUUACAGGUGUGACAACACUCAGCCUAGCUUAUGUUAUUUUAAUGUAAAUUCUUGGUAAACAACUUGGGACCUGCCUCUUCUCCCCAGAGUCCUGGAUAACCCUCUCUGCCCUGUCUCCUUCCCACCUACCGCCCUGAAGGCUGCUUCCGCCUCUGCCCAGACUGCAGAUGCUCCCAGGCUGUGUCCUCUGCCCGCCUCUUCUCUCCAGCCCUCUCUCAUGGCAGUCCCACCUGACAACUCCCAUGGCCUCCUGGGUGUCCUGCAAAGGCUUUGUCACUGGUGUCACUCCUCCAGGCCUCAGAUAAUUCCAGAUACACAAGCGCUCUCCCAACAAGCCAUAUUCUCACCUCUGCAAAGCAUUUCCAAGCAUCUCCGUUUCCUCUGCAUAAGCGACACGGCCCAGCCACCCGAGCCCUCGUUGCCAUCCACCACUGGGCAUCAGCUUCCACUCCCGUCUUUCUCGUGUCCUCUGGUCCAGCCCCUGGUGAGCUCCAGCCAAGCACCGCCUACUGGGCCUCUGGUCUUUACCUGUUCUGUUCCCUCUGCCUGGAGUUUUUUUAAGUAGAAAAAUGCGAGAAUGUGGAGUGGGAAUGUAAAAUGGUGUGGCUGCUGCAGAAAACACUUUGGUGGUUCCUGAAAAAGUUUAGGCAUACACUUAGCAUGGGACUCAGCAUUUACCCCUUAAGCACACGCCCCAUGGAAACAAAACCUGUUCCCUCGGAAACGCGCACACAGACGCUCGUAGCUACGUCCUUCGUAACAGCUGGAAGGCGGAUGUUGGGAACAGGCCCCCCAAAAUCUGGCCAUAAACUGGCCCCAAAACUGGCCAUAAACAAAAUCUCUGCAGCACUGUAACAUGCUCAUGAUGGUCAUGACGCCCACGCUGGAAGGUUGUGGGUUUACCGGAAUGAGGGCAAGGAACGCCUGGCCCAUUCAGGGCGGAAAACCGCUUAAAGACAUUCUUAAUCCACAAACAAUAGCGUGAGCGAUCUGUGCCUUAAGGGCAUGCUCCUCCUGCAGGUAACCAGCCAAACCCAUCCCUUUAUUUCCAGCCCAUCCCUUUAUUUCCCAUAAAGAAUGCCUUUAAAUCUAUAAUCUAUAAAAACAAUGCUUAUCACUGGCUUGCUGUCAAUAAAUAUGUGGGUAAAUCUCUGUUCAAGGCUCUCAGCUCUGAAGGCUGUCAGCCCCGAUUUCCCACUCCACACCUCUGUAUUUCUGUGUGUGUGUGUGUCUUUAAUUCCUCUAGCGCCGCUGGGUUAGGGUCUCCCUGACCGAGCUGGUCUCGGCAGGCGGAGACGACCGGGUGUCCACCACAGGUGAAGGGAUUAACAAAUGGUGCCCGGUCCCUGGGGUGGGAUAUUAUGCAUCUGUGAACAGAAGUGAGACACUGAUACACUGAGGGGACUCAGGGGCCACCACUGGGAUGAGGCUUGGAAAUGUGGCUUCCACCGAAAGAAGUGAGACACAAACGUUCGCACACCGCGUGAUUCCUUUUAUAUGAAAUAUCCAAAACGGACAAAUCCAUAGAGACAGAAAGCAGAUCUGUGGUUUCCAGAGGAUGGGGAAGG